rnacentral:rRNA from 1 species
UGCCUACGGGAGGCAGCAGUGGGGGAUAUUGAACAAUGGGGGAAACCCUGAUGCAGCGACGCCGCGUGGACGAAGAAGUAUUUCGGUAUGUAAAGUCCUAUCAGCAGGGAAGAAGAAAUGACGGUACCUGACUAAGAAGCCCCGGCUAACUACGUGCCAGCAGCCGCGGUAAUACGUAGGGGGCAAGCGUUAUCCGGAUUUACUGGGUGUAAAGGGAGCGUAGACGGCAGCGCAAGUCUGAAGUGAAAUCCCAUGGCUUAACCAUGGAACUGCUUUGGAAACUGUGCAGCUGGAGUGCAGGAGAG